rnacentral:misc_RNA from 1 species
AACGAGGCCGACCUGCGGCUGAGUUACCUGCGGAAGGAUCAUUACCGAGUUUACAAACUCCCAACCCUAUGUGAACCUUACCAAUCGUUGCUUCGGCGGGCUUAGCCCCCGCGCCCUCGCCGGCGCCGGGAGAAAGGCGCCCGCCGGGGACCCCAAACCCAAUGUUUUUCAUGCAGUAUUUCUGAGUGGCAAACGCAAAAAUAAAUCAAAACUUUCAACAAUGGAUCUCAGAUCGGAAGA